AACUUAGAUGCAGAAGGUUGCUCGUUUGCAUUCCAGUUAUUGAUUCGAGGGUGCGUCCUCGAUACCCUUGUGACAAUAACUUCAUCUAGGUCAGGGAAGGUUUCGUAGAUCCAUGCUUGAAAGGCUACCAACAUACCUCGUAGCCUAUAAUGUGCGGUUUGUCGACUCAAUGCAUCUUUUAAAGAACUCAAAGUAAUCUCAAAC
rnacentral:lncRNA from 1 species